GAUGAACGCUGGCGGCGUGCCUAAUACAUGCAAGUCGAGCGAACAGACGAGGAGCUUGCUCCUUCGACGUUAGCGGCGGACGGGUGAGUAACACGUAGGUAACCUACCUAUAAGACUGGGAUAACUUCGGGAAACCGGAGCUAAUACCGGAUAAUAUUUCGAACCGCACGGUUCGAUAGUGAAAGAUGGCUUUGCUAUCACCUAUAGAUGGACCUGAGCCGUAUUAGCUAGUUGGUAAGGUAAAGGCUUACCAAGGCAACGAUACGUAGCCGACCUGAGAGUGUGGUCAGGCAGCCGGGAGCUAAGCCACGGUACAGACUCCUACGGGAGGCACCGGUAGGGAAUCUUCCGCAAUGGGCGAAAGCCUGACGGAGCAACGCCGCGUGGGUGAUGACGGUCUUCGGAUCGUAAGACUCUGUUAUUAGGGAAGAACAAAAGUGUAAGUAACUGUGCACGGCUUGACGGUACCUGGUCAGAAAGCCUCGGCUAACUACGUG
rnacentral:rRNA from 1 species